UCCGGUGGCUUUCAACCGUUCACAUUAUGAGUACACACGUUAUUCGUUGCCGGUGCGCGUACGACGGUGUUGUUGAAUAGAUUGGACGUGAAAAAUUGAAAACGUUGUUUUAAAUCAAUUGGUAGUUGUGUAAUAUCUCCGAGUCUAAAAUAAAUUCGAGAGGACCAGCCGUGUAUUUUCAAACAAUUUUAGGGAGAGGGUUUGAAAAUUUCGAUUGAAGAACAUAGUAAAAAAUUGUCUUAUUUUUAUUCCUCCUUUAAAAUUAUUAGUGUUUCUUGAAUCUUAAAAACGUUCAUAACCAUUGAAGAUGGAUAAUAAAGGGUUCAGCGGAAAAUGUUGUACUACUUCGAUGGAGAUGAAACGCCCUCCAGCUAUUGAUCCAGAAAAGGCCACUUCUAAGGAUAAAAAAUGCCCGGCUAUAUGUCCUCGGACUCCUUCACCAUGGCAUCCAGACAAAACGCGAUACGUAAUCAUCCUAUUAGUUGCUACAGUCACAUGGACAAUAUUGGGAUUUGCUAUGGUUUUUCUUCAUAUUUUUUAAAGCUGUUUUGUGUACGUCACAAACGUUUUGAACAUUUUAUCAUAGUUUCCAACCCAAUGAUAAUAAUAUAAUUUUCACUGUUGAUAAUUAAGUAUUCAAACGCAGUUUAAAAUGUAAUCUAUAUUAAUCAUUUUGGGUUUAAGUUAAUCAUUACCGCAGGAAAUAUCUUUUAUGUUAAAAUGUUAUACGAUAAAAUGGAAUAUGAUGAUAGCUUUAACAAGCAAGGUUUUUUUUAAUGUGAAUACACCGUUUAUUACCCAUUAAUUUAAAAAAGAAAUUAUGUACCUUUUCGACAAUAAAAUAAUAAUAUACUGCUGUAAAUAUAAACCGUUUAUUGGUAAGAUAACGCACAGUCUUUAAAAACCUUAUUUUUUUAGUUAUAAAAGUUAUCUUUAUUAUUGUUAUUAUUUAUUCAAAUUAUUAUUAAAGUUGUACCUUUGUUCAAUGUUAAUUUUUUAUUUUUAUAAAAAAAAAAAAUAAACAAAUUCAAAUAAACAGUAUUAUAAAUAGUUUUUUUUUUUUUUUUUAAUUAAAAUAUAAGCAUUAGUUUUUUAUUAAUACUUUAAUGAUGUAAUAUUGUAAUAAUAAAUUACUUUUAGUAAUAAAUAAUUCACUAAUGUGAGUUUAUGUAAAUUUUAAACAAUUAAAAUAAUGAAUUCAUGAAAAAUAUGUUUACCUGUACUUUUUACCA